CCUACGGGAGGCAGCAGUGGGGAAUAUUGGGCAAUGGGCGCAAGCCUGAACCAGCAACGCCGCGUGAAGGAAGAAGGCUUUCGGGUUGUAAAAUUCUUUUCUCAGGGACGAAACAAGUGACGGUACCUGAGGAAUAAGCCACGGCUAACUACGUGCCAGCAGCCGCGGUAAUACGUAGGUGGCAAGCGUUAUCCGGAUUUACUGGGUGUAAAGGGCGUGUAGGCGGGUACGCAAGUCAGAUGUGAAAACCACGGGCUCAACCUGUGGCCUGCAUUUGAAACUGUGUUUCUUGAGUACUGGAGAGGCAGGCGGAAUUCCUGGUGUAGCGGUGAAAUGCGUAGAUAUGAGGAGGAACACCAGUGGCGAAGGCGGUCUGCUGGACAGCAACUGACGCUGAGGCGCGAAAGCGUGGGGAGCAAACAGGAUUAGAUACCCUUGUAGUC
rnacentral:rRNA from 1 species